AUUGAACGCUGGCGGCAGGCCUAACACAUGCAAGUCGAGCAGAGCGGCGGACGGGUGAGUAAUGCCUAGGAAUCUGCCUGGUAGUGGGGGAUAACGUCCGGAAGCGGGCGCUAAUACCGCAUACUAUCAGAUGAGCCUAGGCCGGAUUAGCUAGUUGGUGGGGUAAAGGCCUACCAAGGCGACGCUCCGGAACUGGUCUGAGCGGAUAAGCAGUCACCCUGGAACUGAGACACGGUCCAGACGCCUACGGGAGGCAGCAGUGGGGAUUAUUGGACAAGGGGCGAAAGCCUGAUCCAGCCAUGCCGCGUGUGUGAAGAAGGUCUUCGGAUUGUAAAGCACUGUAAGUUGGGAGGCGUUACCAACAGAAUAAGCACCGGCUAACUUCGUGCCAGCAGCCGCGGUAAUUC
rnacentral:rRNA from 1 species